AGUGCAGUGCGGAGUUGGGGUCGCCUCCGUGGGGCGCAGACCCCCGGUUUGGGGGGGCUGAGGGCCGCGUGGGAGAGCCUCAAAUUCGAGGUGGCCCUCAGGUUGGAGGCUCUCAGUACGAAGCUGUUGGCGGCGGCGCUGCGGCUGUUGGCGCGGUGGGGGCGGCUGCCCCAUAGCGAACGCUUGGAGGCCUAUCUGCGGGCGUAGCCCCAUAGCGCCCCAUAGACCCUGCCCCAUAGCGCCCCAUAGCACCCCAUAGAACCCCAUAGUGCCUCAUAGAGCCCCAUAG
rnacentral:lncRNA from 1 species